AAACCAACCGGGAUUGCCUUAGUAACGGCGAGUGAAGCGGCAAAAGCUCAAAUUUGAAAUCUGGUACCUUCGGUGCCCGAGUUGUAAUUUGGAGAGGGCAACCUUGGGGCCGUUCCUUGUCUAUGUUCCUUGGAACAGGACGUCAUAGAGGGUGAGAAUCCCGUGUGGCGAGGAGUGCGGUUCUUUGUAAAGUGCCUUCGAAGAGUCGAGUUGUUUGGGAAUGCAGCUCUAAGUGGGUGGUAAAUUCCAUCUAAAGCUAAAUAUUGGCGAGAGACCGAUAGCGAAUAAGUACAGUGAUGGAAAGAUGAAAAGAACUUUGAAAAGAGAGUGAAAAAGUACGUGAAAUUGUUGAAAGGGAAGGGCAUUUGAUCAGACAUGGUGUUUUGUGCCCUCUGCUCCUUGUGGGUAGGGGAAUCUCGCAUUUCACUGGGCCAGCAUCAGUUUUGGUGGCAGGAUAAAUCCAUAGGAAUGUAGCUUGCCUCGGUAAGUAUUAUAGCCUGUGGGAAUACUGCC
rnacentral:rRNA from 1 species